AAAUUUGACUUACCGACUUCCUGCACACAUAAGCAGAAGGUGACAUUGAGUCAUGGGGAGAGUACAAAGUGAGAAUGGAAAAUAAACAUCUCAAGAACAUUGGGGACACAAGCGUACGUAGAUGACAGCAGCAGCGGCGGCGGGCAUCCCCUGAACAUUUUGUGCGCUUGGCAAUGGCGUGUGGAACAUUCAGACCAGCACGUUAUUGGACAGGCGAG